rnacentral:rRNA from 1 species
GUGCACGCUGGCGGUAGGCCUAACACAUGCAAGUCGAACGGCAGCACAGUAAGAGCUUGCUCUUACGGGUGGCGAGUGGCGGACGGGUGAAGAAUACAUCGGAAUCUACUUUUUCGUGGGGGAUAACGUAGGGAAACUUACGCUAAUACCGCAUACGACCUACGGGUGAAAGCAGGGGAUCUUCGGACCUUGCGCGAUUGAAUGAGCCGAUGUCGGAUUAGCUAGUUGGCGGGGUAAAGGCCCACCAAGGCGACGAUCCGUAGCUGGUCUGAGAGGAUGAUCAGCCACACUGGAACUGAGACACGGUCCAGACUCCUACGGGAGGCAGCAGUGGGGAAUAUUGGACAAUGGGCGCAAGCCUGAUCCAGCCAUACCGCGUGGGUGAAGAAGGCCUUCGGGUUGUAAAGCCCUUUUGUUGGGAAAGAAAAGCAGCAGGUUAAUACCCCGCUGUUCUGACGGUACCCAAAGAAUAAGCACCGGCUAACUUCGUG